rnacentral:rRNA from 1 species
AUGGAUAGAAAAGUCGGAGUGGUUUUAGUCUGCCUGCUCUUCCUACUCAUUGGGGAAGUUUCAGCGGUUGCCCAGACCGAGGUUGGUCAUGUGCGUGUAACACAGGAGGCACCAGAUCUGAAGCUAGAGGAUGCUGGUAGACAUGAUGUGUCCCAAAGUGGAAGGGUGUCGGUGUAUGUUGUUGCAUGGUCGACGCUUGCGAUGGCUGCAGCAACAGGGUUGGGAGCAGUUCCCUUCUUUUUCCUGGAGCUAGAGGCCCAAUGGGCGGGCCUUUGCAAUGGGUUGGCAGCUGGGGUGAUGUUGGCAGCAAGUUUUGAUCUUGUGCAGGAAGGGCAGAUGUACGGCAGUGGGAGUUGGGUUGUUUUUGGGAUUUUGAGUGGAGGGAUCUUUAUUUGGCUUUGCAAGAAGAUUCUUGAGCAACAUGGAGAAGUAAGUAUGUUGGAUAUAAAAGGUGCAGAUGCAAGUAAAGUUAUUCUUGUUGUUGGAAUAAUGACACUCCAUUCGUUUGGCGAGGGUUCCGGUGUUGGUGUUUCCUUUGUUGGGUCAAAAGGAUUAUCUCAAGGUCUUUUAGUUACUAUAGCUAUAGCAGUGCACAACAUACCUGAAGGCCUGGCUGUAAGCAUGGUACUAUCAUCUAGGGGUGUCUCCCCACAAAAAGCAAUGCUAUGGAGUAUCAUAACAUCUUUACCACAGCCAAUUGUUGCUGUGCCUGCAUUCCUUUGUGCCGAUGCAUUUCAGAAGGUGCUUCCUUUCUGUACUGGUUUUGCUGCAGGGUGCAUGAUAUGGAUUGUUAUUGCAGAGGUUCUUCCUGAUGCUUUUAAGGAAGCGACUCCAUCUCAAGUAGCCUCUGCUGGAACACUUGCUGUUGCUUUUAUGGAAACAUUAAGUACCGUGCUUCAGGGAUUCACGGAUGGCCACGGCUUGGAAGAUACAUCAGGCUUUUUGGUAUCACUUGUAUUUGGUCUUGGUCCACUUUUUGGAGGAAUUAUACUUGUCGCGUUCUCACUUGCCUUCAACAUGCCACACCCUCUUCUUACUGGUGUAGCAUCUGGCAUUGCCUUCCGUCUUGCUUCAUGGAGGCCAUUGCAACUUGUGACGUCCUUAAAGAUGGGUUUCUUCACCACCUUGUUCCUCCUGCUAGGAGGUUCCGUCUUCUACCAUCUCGUGGAAGCAAGCAUCCUUAUGGUUGCUAAACACAAGAAAUCAUCCGUCAAUGUCAUUACAUCUUCCAGCGGGCUCUCUCUUAGUGUCCUCACACAGCAAUCGCUCCUUGCUUGCGGUUGCGUCUUCCUUCACGCCUACGCCGAAGGGCUUGCACUUGGUGUGGCAGCACGCAAGGCAUCUGGUCUAGGCCGCUACAUGGUUCUUCCAGUCUCUCUUCACGGCCUACCACGGGGUGCUGCUGUUGCUAGUUGUGUAUAUGGUGCCACUGAUAGCUGGCGAGGAGCCUUGGCAGCUGCAGCUCUGACCGGGCUUGCGGGACCAAGCGCGGCCAUCGGUGCAAUCCUUGCGAAGAUUGGCUAUGAUGGACUGGACUAUUGGAUGGUGAUUGCAUGCGGGGCUUUGAUCCCGAGCUUUGGCCGUGUCUUCAGACGCUCGCUGCGGUUGGACGCGAGGAAGAGCGUCUGCGGGCUCCUGAUAGGUUUUGGCUUUGCUUGGGUGUGCUUGAUGUCCACCAGAUUCAUCUGCUUGCACACCCCUUACUGCAAUUCAGCUCCAGAAGCGGUUACAUGA